CUGGCGUCUGCUAUAAUGCAGUCGAGCGAACAGAUAAGGAGCUUGCUCCUUUGAAGUUAGCGGCGGACGGGUGAGUAACACGUGGGUAACCUACCUAUAAGACUGGAAUAACUUCGGGAAACCGGAGCUAAUGCCGGAUAACAUAUAGAACCGCAUGGUUCUAUAGUGAAAGAUGGUUUUGCUAUCACUUAUAGAUGGACCCGCGCCGUAUUAGCUAGUUGGUAAGGUAAAGGCUUACCAAGGCGACGAUACGUAGCCGACCUGAGAGGGUGAUCGGCCACACUGGAACUGAGACACGGUCCAGACUCCUACGGGAGGCAGCAGUAGGGAAUCUUCCGCAAUGGGCGAAAGCCUGACGGAGCAACGCCGCGUGAGUGAUGAAGGUUUUCGGAUCGUAAAACUCUGUUAUUAGGGAAGAACAAAUGCGUAAGUAACUGUGCGCAUCUUGACGGUACCUAAUCAGAAAGCCACGGCUAACUACGUGCCAGCAGCCGCGGUAAUACGUAGGUGGCAAGCGUUAUCCGGAAUUAUUGGGCGUAAAGCGCGCGUAGGCGGUUUCUUAAGUCUGAUGUGAAAGCCCACGGCUCAACCGUGGAGGGUCAUUGGAAACUGGGAAACUUGAGUGCAGAAGAGGAAAGUGGAAUUCCAUGUGUAGCGGUGAAAUGCGCAGAGAUAUGGAGGAACACCAGUGGCGAAGGCGGACUUUCUGGUCUGUAACUGACGCUGAUGUGCGAAAGCGUGGGGAUCAAACAGGAUUAGAUAACCCUGGUAGUCCACGCCGUAAACGAGGAGUGCUAGGGGGUAGGGGGGUUUCCGCCCCUUAGUGCUGCAGCUAACGCAUUAAGCACUCCGGCCUGGGGAGUACGACCGCAAGGUUGAAACUCAAAGGAAUUGACGGGGACCCGCACAAGCGGGGGGAGCAUGGGGUUUAAUUCGAAGCAACGCGAAGAACCUUACCAAAUCUUGGCAUCCUUUGAAACUCUAGAGUAGAGCCUUCCCUUCGGGGAAAAAGUGAAGGGGGGGGAUGGUUGCCUCAGCUCGGGCCGGGA
rnacentral:rRNA from 1 species